GUGAGGAAUAUUGGUCAAUGGACGGAAGUCUGAACCAGCCAAGUAGCGUGCAGGAUGACGGCCCUAUGGGUUGUAAACUGCUUUUAUGCGGGGGUAAAGUGAGUGACGUGUCAUUCAUUGCAAGUACCGCAAGAAUAAGGACCGGCUAAUUCCGUGCCAGCAGCCGCGGUAAUACGGAAGGUCCUGGUGUUAUCCGGAUUUAUUGGGUUUAAAGGGAGCGUAGGCCGUCAGGCAAGCGUGUUGUGAAAUGUCGUGGCUCAACCAUGGACUUGCAGCGCGAACUGCCCGACUUGAGUGCGCAGAAAGCAGGCGGAAUUUGUGGUGUAGCGGUGAAAUGCUUAGAUAUCACGAAGAACCCCGAUUGCGAAGGCAGCCUGCUGUAGCGCUACUGACGCUGAAGCUCGAAAGUGCGGGUAUCGAACAGGAUUAGAAACCCCAGUAGUCC
rnacentral:rRNA from 1 species